rnacentral:rRNA from 1 species
AAGCUCGUAGUUGAAUUUCGGGAUUGACGUGGUGGUCAUGCCUUAAGGGGUAUGAACUGUCACAGUUGAUUUCUCACCUUCUGGAGAAACUUGAUGUCCUUUAUUGGGUGUCUUGCGGAUCCAGGACCUUUACCUUGAAAAAAUUAGAGUGUUUAAAGCAGGCAUUUUUGCUCGAAUACAUUAGCAUGGAAUAAUAGAAUAGGACGGCGUGGUUCUAUUUUGUUGGUUUCUAGGAUCACCGUAAUGAUUAAUAGGGAUAGUUGGG